GGUGAUCCUAUGCUGCCGAGAAAAACUUCUAGCGAGGUUCGAGCCGCCCGUACCCUAAACCGACUCAGGUGGUUGGGUAGAGAAUACCAAGGCGAUCGAGUGAAUCGUGGUUAAGGAAUUCGGCAAAAUGCCCCCGUAACUUCGGGAGAAGGGGGGCCUGACCCUUGAAGCCCUUUUUCGGGCUAGGGGGGAGGGCCGCAGAGACCAGGGAGAAGCGACUGUUUACUAAAAACACAGGUCCGUGCGAACAUGUAAGUGGAUGUAUACGGACUGACGCCUGCCCGGUGCUGGAACGUUAAGGGGACCGGUUAGCUCACUUGUGGGCGACGCUGAGAACUUAAGCACCAGUAAACGGCGGUGGUAACUAUAACCAUCCUAAGGUAGCGAAAUUCCUUGUCGGGUAAGUUCCGACCUGCACGAAUGGCGUAACGAUUUCUCCACUGUCUCAACCACGAACUCGGCGAAAUUGCAUUACGAGUAAAGAUGCUCGUUACGCGCAGAAGGACGGAAAGACCCCGGGACCUUUACUAUAGCUUGGUAUUGGUGUUCGGUACGGCUUGUGUAGGAUAGGUGGGAGACUGUGAGGCUCAUGCGCCAGCAUGGGUGGAGUCAUUGUUGAAAUACCACUCUGGUUGUACUGGAUGUCUAACUUCGGACCAUGAUCUGGUUCAGGGACAGUGCCUGGUGGGUAGUUUAACUGGGGCGGUUGCCUCCUAAAAGGUAACGGAGGCGCCCAAAGGUUCCCUCAGCCUGGUUGGCAAUCAGGUGUUGAGUGUAAGUGCACAAGGGAGCUUGACUGUGAGACCGACGGGUCGAGCAGGGACGAAAGUCGGGACUAGUGAUCCGGCCGUGGUGUGUGGAAACGCGGUCGCUCAACGGAUAAAAGGUACCCCGGGGAUAACAGGCUGAUCUUGCCCAAGAGUCCAUAUCGACGGCAUGGUUUGGCACCUCGAUGUCGGCUCGUCGCAUCCUGGGGGUGGAGUUGCUCCCAAGGGUUGGGCUGUUCGCCCAUUAAAGCGGUACGCGAGCUGGGUUUAGAACGUCGUGAGACAGUUCGGUCCCUAUCCUCUGUGCGCGUAGGAGACUUGAGAAGGGCUGUCCCUAGUACGAGAGGACCGGGAUGGACGAACCUCUGGUGUGUCAGUUGUUCUGCCAAGGGCACCGCUGAUUAGCUACGUUCGGGAGUGAUAACCGCUGAAAGCAUCUAAGCGGGAAGCAUGCUUCAAGAUGAGGUCUCCAUGAACUUCGUGUUCGAGAGGUCCCCAGCUAGACGACUGGGUUGAUAGGCCAGAUGUGGAAGCACAGUAAUGUGUGGAGCUGACUGGUACUAAUAGACCGAUCACUUCC
rnacentral:rRNA from 1 species